CUUUGUUUUCUACACGGCAUCGCACUGGAACGCUAAGUCGCUUGACGGCACAGCUUUGCCGGUAGCAUGGUAACUAGCCACGGCCGUAGCCUUCCACUAGACCAGCCCAGAGACCAUUUAGAAAA